GUGAGUUUCACGUACCUCUGAUGUCCAGAA
rnacentral:piRNA from 1 species